rnacentral:rRNA from 1 species
GAUGAACGCUGGCGGCGUGCCUAACACAUGCAAGUUGAGCGAUUCUCUUCGGAGAAGAGCGGCGGACGGGUGAGUAACACGUAGGUAACCUGCCCUGUACACACGGAUAACAUACCGAAAGGUAUGCUAAUACGAGAUAAUAUACUUUUAUCGCAUGGUAGAAGUAUCAAAGCUCCGGCGGUACAGGAUGGACCCGCGUCUGAUUAGCUAGUUGGUAAGGUAACGGCUUACCAAGGCGACGAUCAGUAGCCGACCUGAGAGGGUGAUCGGCCACAUUGGAACUGAGACACGGUCCAAACUCCUACGGGAGGCAGCAGUGGGGAAUAUUGCACAAUGGGCGAAAGCCUGAUGCAGCAACGCCGCGUGAGCGAUGAAGGCCUUCGGGUCGUAAAGCUCUGUCCUCAAGGAAGAUAAUGACGGUACUUGAGGAGGAAGCCCCGGCUAACUACGUGCCAGCCGCCGCAGUAA